rnacentral:rRNA from 1 species
AACGAACGCUGGCGGCGUGCUUCAGACAUGCAAGUCGUGCGAGAAAGCUACCUUCGGGUGGCGAGUAAAGCGGCGCACGGGUGAGUAACGCGUGGGUAACCUACCCUCGGGUCUGGAAUAACAUCGGGAAACUGGUGCUAAUGCCGGAUAAGACUACGACAACCUAGGUUGAUGUAGAAAAACAUGGCCUCUCGUAGAAGCUAUGGCCCUUGGAUGAGCCCGCGUUCCAUUAGCUAGUUGGUGGGGUAAAAGCCUACCAAGGCGACGAUGGAUAACUGGUCUGAGAGGAUGAUCAGUCACACUGGAACUGAGACACGGUCCAG